UAUAACAGAGUUCAAACUGAAAAGUUUUACAUUAAAUUUAAGCUGUAGAUAACUUUUUGUUUAGCCAAUUAACAGUUUAUUCCAUUUUAAUUUUUUAUUUAAUUUUUUUUAGCACUGGUCACCUCCUCUGGGUAUGUCUAUUUAUGUUUAUCUCUCUCUUCUUUCUCUCCUUCCUUCCUUCCUUCCUUCCUUCCUUCCUUCCUUCCUUCCUUCCUUCCUUCCUUCCUUCCUUCUUCCCUCCCUCCAUCCCUCCUUUCUUUGUUUCUUUUUUUUUCUGGAGACAGGGUUUCUCUGUGUAUCCCUGACUGUCUUGGAAUUCACUUUGUAGACCAGGCUAGGCUCGAACUCAGAGAUCCACCUGCCUCUGCCUCCCGAUUGCCAGAAUUGAAGGCAUUAAGAUUUAUUAUGACACCUUCCCCUACCCCCACCCCCCCAGACAGGGUUUCUCUGUGUAGCCCCGGCUGUCCUGGAACUCACUCUGUAGACCAGGCUGGCCUUGAACUCAGAAAUCCGCCUGCCUCUGCCUCCCAAGUGCUAGGAUCAAAGGCUCGCGCCACCACUGCCCAGAAACACACUUUCAAACAAUACCCAUUUGCUGAUAAUUAUCCUCCCUCGUCUCCCUAACUCCCUUGUACUGUAGUACCAAGGAAGUGUUCGUGAACCCUGACUGACCAGUCCAGGGUCUUUAUUCAAGCUAGCUGGGACUUAUCACACCACCGCCCUGCAGGAUGGUUCCAGUGGAGGAAAAGCCUUGAACAUUCAUGGAGGCAAGGUUUUAUAGAAAGCAGCAAGCAAGGGGUGAGUGUUUCUAGUCUGGCGAGCAUCUAAUUGGUGUGCUACUGUGGCCUUUAGCAUAAUUGGCUGGUGCUGAGAGCCAAACCAUAAACUUAACUUCUGAUUUCUUCCUAAUUGGUGGUUGUUAGGCAGGGGUGGGCUUGUAACCUGGAGGUGCAAAUUUGUUGGGGGAAAUAACCUGGACAUUGGUGCUAGAUGCAGGUUUGUUGGGGGGAGAUUAACCUGGAAGUGUGGGACUUGGGGUUAACCUAGGAACUGGAGCUAGGCUCGGGUUUUGUUGUGGGGUAACUUGGAAGCUAAUGCUAGGUACGGGCCUUGAGUUCAAACUUAGGUCAGGUUCUCCAAGAUGGAAUCUGAACCCCAGAAUUUGGUCUUUCAUUCCCCUCUUUCUCUGGUGACUAGAAGGCCCAAUCAUGAGGCUUUCUGAAGCUUCCUGAAAACUGUAACAGGGCUGUAUCUUUGUGGUGUCCCUGGCCCAUCAGUGGGAGACAGGCGGGAGUCUUGAGGCUGAAUUCUCCUGCUGGUCAGGGUUGUUUCAACUGCAAAAGGAUGUGUGUUGGAUUCACACUGUAGCUCUGUAGCACAGGGACCUUUCAGCAAUCCCUGGCAAUGUCUUGUGACUAGGACUCAAUCUCCAGGUUGGUGGCGCUCUGGAAUGGACCUGUUUUACAGAAAGCACGAAGUUUAGGCCAUACAUGUUUGUGCACCCACCGGACACCCUGGAGAUCGUCUAAUAAUUAGCAAUCGUCUGCUUCUGCAGUAACCUCUGCCUGUAGGUGAAGCAAACCUAAUUUCAGAAGGGGCAAGUCUCGUCUGGUAUGGGAGUUCCAUACUCCAUCCAAGGCAAGGGGGAGCGAGUGAACGCAAUGCAGACAUAGGAUUUCCAGUCCUUUAGGCUUUAAUUCCUGUGAAAUGAUUU
rnacentral:lncRNA from 1 species